rnacentral:piRNA from 1 species
UCCCAAAGUCCUCGCGUGUCCCCCA